UGGAUGGCGURCGUUGGCAGGCUCCGUGCUUGUGCAUCGAACUGUNGACGCCCCAUCCNCUUCAGUCAUUCCCCAAGCGCAGCUCUUGCCUUGUGGGUGUGUUUGGUAUCCUGUGUUGCUUACCCACGAAAGGGUAUUUAGUGGCUUUGGUUAACUAAUCCGCCUUGCUCCCUUUGGGGUGUGGGGUGGACAAGAGGCGGACUCCGUGUUCCUAGCGCGCCUGGUGCAUUGAUGCUUGGUCGCUGUGGCCCAUGGGGUCUUAGCUUGUGCUCUCGGAUAUGGAAUGCUAUGUGUGGGCGUGAGGUCUUGGCCUCGAAUCGUCCAAGAUACACGCAUUGUCCCUUGACAUGAACGACUACUGCACCCGUCUUGAACGACUGACCGAGGCCCUUGCACGGGGCAUCGGAAGGGCGGCUCAUGCGGAUGUCGGUGUCGGAGAGGAAUGCUAC
rnacentral:misc_RNA from 1 species